AAAAUAAUCCUACCCUUUGUGAAUUUUGUUUGUUUGAAUAAUUUUUUUUUUAAAAAAUUAUUGGAGUCUUUCCCUUUAGAGUUUGCUUUUGAGUUUGUAAAAGAAUUCGAAAACAUCUAAAGGGGAUGGUCAAUAAUUUUUUUUGAAAAAAGACAUUUUUUAAAAUUAAACUUUUUGUAUUCAUUUGUCUAAAAAUUAUUUUUAUAAUAUAAAAACAACUUUUGACAAUGGAUCUCUUGGUUCUCGCAACGAUGAAGAACGCAGCAAAAUGCGAUAAGUAGUGUGAAUUGCAGAAUACGUGAAUCAUCGAAUCUUUGAACGCAUAUUGCACUUUUUUAGUUUACUAAAAAAGUAUGUCUGUUUGAGUAUCAGUAAAAUAUUCUCAUAAAAAUCAUUGUGUAUUUUUAUGGUUAUGAGUGUUUUACAACGAUACAAGUUGUUUCACUUUAAAUUUUUUUUUAAUAUUGAAAUUUUUCUAAUUUUAAUAAUUAAAAUUGGAUAAAAUUUUCCCGUCAAAAGGAAUAACCUAAACAAUUUUAAAUGAUUAAUUUUAGCAAAAUUUUCGUAAAAAAGGAAAAUUUUUAUUAAAAUAACUUGAUCUCAAAUCAGAUAAGAGUACCCGCUGAACUUAAGCAUAUCAAUAAGCGGAGGAAAAGAAACUAACAAGGAUUCCCUUAGUAACGGCGAGUGAAGCGGGAAGAGCUCAAAUUUGAAAUCUUCAAGGUUUUACCUUGACGAAUUGUAGUUUAAAGAAGUGUUUUCUGCUGAAGUUUUGGUAAAAGUUCUUUGGAAUAGGACAUCAUAGAGGGUGAGAAUCCCGUAUUUGACCAUUAUUUUCAGCUUUGUGAUACACUUUCAAAGAGUCGGAUUGUUUGGGAAUGCAGUCCAAAAUGGGUGGUAAAUUUCAUCUAAAGCUAAAUAUUGGCGAGAGACCGAUAGCGAACAAGUACCGUGAGGGAAAGAUGAAAAGAACUUUGAAAAGAGAGUUAAACAGUACGUGAAAUUGUCAAAAGGGAAGCGUUUGACACCAGUGUUGUUUUCUCGAAAAUCAAUUAAAAAUGGCUCGAUUUUGUAUUGCUGAGACCUUAAAAGCUCACUGUACAUUUUUCGUGUCUUUUUUAAUGCACUUUUCGUUUAACAAGUCAACAUCAGUUUCUUUUGUUGUAAAAGGGUCAUUGGAGGUGGCUUUCUUUUCGGAGAAAGUGUUUAUAGCCUUUGGCCUCUGCAAUCGAGAGACUGAGGUCUGCAGCGUAGACUCUUCGGGGUUAGAUACAUUUGUGCUAAGUUAUAGCUUUUUAUAGACAACUUGUUGACUAUAAUUAGUCUUGUAGCUUACUCGCUUAUGCUAUUUUACCUACGCUUAGGAUG
rnacentral:misc_RNA from 1 species